rnacentral:rRNA from 1 species
UAGGGAAUCUUCGGCAAUGGGGGCAACCCUGACCGAGCAACGCCGCGUGAGUGAAGAAGGUUUUCGGAUCGUAAAGCUCUGUUGUAAGUCAAGAACGGGUGUGAGAGUGGAAAGUUCACACUGUGACGGUAGCUUACCAGAAAGGGACGGCUAACUACGUGCCAGCAGCCGCGGUAAUACGUAGGUCCCGAGCGUUGUCCGGAUUUAUUGGGCGUAAAGCGAGCGCAGGCGGUUUGAUAAGUCUUGAAG